GAGGGCCGGCCUGGACCCGGCGGGCGCAGGGCUCCGAGCCCAGCGCAGCCGAGCCGGUCCGCAGAGGGGCCCCCAGAACUUUGUGUGUGUGUGUGCGUGUGUGCACGCGCGUGUGUGUGUGCCCAGGUGCGAGGGUGCGCGCGUGUGCUGGCGGGGAGGGAACCGACCCGAAAGAGAGCCCCAGGCUGGCAAAGUGGCUCGCCCAUCUCACAGCCGGUUGGCGCUCGCGGAGUUAGGAGUGGAAUGAAUGAAUGAAGGAGUGGGCGCGCGCCGUGCUCCCGGGGAGGGCGGGUGAGUGGAGGAGCUUCGGAAAGCUACGCGAGGUCAGAGGCACCGAAGCCCUACCGUGCACGCCGCGGAAAUGCAGCCCCCGGGGUGGUCGCUGGGUUCCUGCCGGAGUCUGGCUUCGACGUCACCCUGAUCUUCGCCUCCUCGCGUCUACACUGUCCCGAGGGUCCCCCCUCCAUCACUGAAUGGGCGCUCACAGCUGUCUGGGUCCUCGCUUUUCACAGCGCUCUCUCCUAUCAGGGCUUUCGCUAAACACUCUCCAAACUCUCCCCAGCCCGGAGCCUCUUCAGGUUUGCUUCUCCAGCUGCCUCCCGGAUGCUUGGAUAGGAUGCCCUACCAUCCCCUCCAACUUAGGAAGACUUGUUGAGUCUCCUCUUAGGCACAGUUUUUAAAACUGUGGGUCGUGAUACAGUAAUAGAUCAUAAAAUAAAUGCAGCAGAAGGCAACCGGCUUUCAAAAAGAAUGAAAUGGAAUCCAAUAGAAAAUAUUAGAGUCCAUUGCCCUUAGUAAGGGCAACUAUUGUUUCAUAAACCUUUUGUUUCGAUUAUAGGUACUGGACAAGUGUACUAGACCAUGAUGUCAAUUUUAUUUCCGACUGUAAAUCGUGGGUUUAGAAAAGUUGAAAAGCUGUCUUUUUAAGGUGUAAAAUAAUGAUCUCUAACACUGUAUGACAUUCUUAAAAACAACCCCGUGAUUUUCUCACUACUUCUUAUCCUUUCCGGUCUCCAUCUUCCAUUCCCAUCCUCUAUUCCCCGCCCCUCCCCCCAAAAAAGGCAAGCUCUUUCACAUUUUGUUAGUGGCACAUCACGACCCCUUUCUCUCUGUGAUCUUGGACUCUGCCGUCUUCCUUGCCCCCAUAAUCAAUGCUACACUUCCUACCCCUUCUCUUAACUUAAUGCCAUUCACAUUUGCAGAAUCCUAGACCACUGUUGCUAAAAGGGACCUCAGAGGUCAUCUGGGCCAGCCCUGCCCUUUUAGAAUUGAAGAAAUGGAGUCCAGAGAAGUAAAAUCUGUUGCCCAAUGUCACACAGUAUUGAAGCUUAGGAACAGGUCUCGUGGCUCCCACUCUAGUGUUCUUUGCUCCACACCUGUCAUUUAUCUCUUUCCCUUCUAUCCUCCCUGCAAUCUUUGACUUUAGUCUUGGCCCAGGUCAUCCUAAAUACUGCCACCUUCAUAAUAUGUGGUUCUGGCCAUGCCAUGCUCCUGGCUAACAUCCUCUAAGGACUCAAGCUCUGCAGGUGGGGCUGAGUUUUCUAGCGCCUUGGCUUUUCAUCAAGGCAGGUGAGUCCUGACUUAGCUUUCUAAGGACAUGAGUUCAGCAAGUCACUACUUCUCUAGCCAGACUGGUUUACUUGUAGCCCACUGCCAGCCUCACCCAUCUCUGUCAUUGUGCCUUUGCCCAAGCUGUCACUUUCCCACCCACUUUCCCAGAGGGGUGCCUUCUCCAUCUUCUCUCUUUAACCAGAUUCUACCUGUGCCUGGAUCACCUCCUCCACAAAACAGCCCAAGAUAGCAUGGGAGUAAGUCAGACCUAGGUUCAAAUCCUAGCUCUUCCACUUAACUAUGUGAUCUUGGUCAAAUUGCUUAACCUCUCUGAGCCUCAGUGUCUGUAUAUUGAUUAUGAGAAGGAGAACAAUAGUAAUGUUCUCCUUUUGCAUCUAUAAAUCUCUAUCAUAGCCUUCACCACACAGGUAUGUAACUCCCUAUUACAUACAUACCCUACAUACAUGUCUCUCUGCUCCUUUCUAGUGCUGGCCAUUAGAACUUGCUGCCAUAAUGGCAGUGUAGCCACUUAUGCCUGUGGAGCCCAUGAAAUGUGGCUAGUAUGACUGAGGAACUGAAUUUUUAAUUUUAAUAAUGAUGGAUAGUUAGUGGCUACCAUUUUGGACAAGGCAUCUCUGGACUGUAAGCUCAGUAAGGACAGAAACCAUGUUUUUCUUGCUUUGUAGUGUAUGUCCAGUAACUGUGCAUUGCCUAAUGCAUGGUGAGUACUGCACACAUAUUUGUUGAAUGGAUGAUAACUGCAAUUUGUUGCAUGCCCCGUUGUGUCCAGCACAACACUAAGAACUUGAUAAAAGGCAUUUCAUAUUGUCCUCUUCACAGCCCCUGAGGCUGGGUUAGAUUACAGAGAGAGUUUUGUAUAGAGGGCAGACAUAUAGUAGGGAUUCAAUAAAAGUUAUUAUUAUUCUAACUCCUCCCUGUGACCAGCCCCGCUGACUUUUGUCUCAUCUUUCCUUAGGCUCACAGAACAUUUCCUGCCUGUUGCUCACGCUCUGUUGUCCACAGCAUACCCCUACCCUAGAUGGCUGACUCUUGUCUUCUGUGUAGGUACCCUGUGUUCAUAACUGGAUUGGCAGCGUCUUGGAGCAAGGUCCCUGCUUUACAGGACUGCCCCUGAACUCAGCACUGACCAGUGUUCAUGCCCUCUAAGUCCAUCCCAGCUGCUGUCUAGCAUACAUGGAACUCUACGUUGCCAAAAUACCGUUUAACUUCAGGGUGCAUUGAAGAACAAUAAUAAAGGCGAGAAAAUUGGAAAGGAUUUAGUAACCAUCUAUACCGUUACCUCUUCUUAAUUUGCCUUUCUACAAAAUGGUGCAAAUCAUAUCUUUCUUGGGAGUUGGUAGAGUGAACAUGGGGGAGCUUUGACCUCCUUUCAAGUUCAUUUUACUUACAGGACAUGGAACGAAGGGUCUUUUUUUUUUUUUUUUUUUUUUUCAUGUAUGCCUAUAGUUGUGAAGCUGCACAACAAAACAAUAUCUUCAAGGCCACAGGAUAGAGAUAACCCUUGUUUUGGUGUAUGCAUUUGGCUCCUUAUUUUCCAUGUCCGAGCCUGUGGUUUAUCUCUCAAGGAUGUGCCUGGGGGAGGAGACAUAUACUGCCUGGACCGCCUGGCUGAUUUGAGCUAGUUUGUCUGGUUGAGUUGGAUGUUUAAAUAGAAGGCACAACAACAACAGGGUCUUGCUCUGUUGCUCAGGCUGGAGUGCAGUUGCAGUGG